rnacentral:rRNA from 1 species
CCUACGGGCGACAGCAGUGAGGAAUAUUGGUCAAUGGACGAGAGUCUGAACCAGCCAAGUAGCGUGAAGGAUGACUGCCUAUGGGUUGUAAACUUCUUUUAUAAAGGAAUAAAACGAGGCACGUGUGCCUUUUUGCAUGUACUUUAUGAAUAAGGAUCGGCUAACUCCGUGCAAGCAGCCGCGGUAAUACGGGUGGUCCGAGCGUUAUCCGGGUUUGUUGGGUUUAAAGGGAGCGUAGAUGGGUUGUUAAGUCCGUUGUGAAAGUUUGCGGCUCAACCGUAAAAUUGAAAUUGAUACUGGCAGUCUUGAGUACAGUUGAGGUAGGCGGAAUUCGUGGUGUAGCGGUGAAAUGCUUAGAUAUCACGAAGAACCCCGAUUGCGAAGGCAGCUUACUAAACUGUGACUGACAUUGAUGCUCGAAAGUGUGGGUAUCAAACAGGAUUAGAUACCCGUGUAGUC